CGCACCUUGCACCCUUUGGCAUUCCGAAGGGUACACCCGUUUGAGAAUCAUUGUACUCUCAUCUCUACACCUUUGUGUGAAGAGUUGGAAUUGGACGUCUGUCGUAGCGAUACGACUCGUCUGAAAAGUCUCAGUAUACCUCAUCUAUCGGUGUAUUUGAUGUGAUAAUAUCUUCAUCAAUCAUGUCCUCUGGACGUGCGCCUUUAUUGAGCACUAUGCUUCGAACCGUCUCUUUGAGACAAUACCUGACAAUUUGAUCUCAGAUCGGGUGGGACUACCCGCUGAACUUAA
rnacentral:misc_RNA from 1 species